AUUGUGCCUGACACAUGAUGGCUCAUACACAGAUAGAAUCUGCUAUUAUCAUCAUAUCUUUAUUUUUUCUUCCUAUUCUUUAAUUUUAUUUUGUUGAAACUCUAUUUCAUUUAUAUUUGAUUUUUCUUCUUUAAAAAAUAAAAGCACGUAAAGCCAGAAAUUUUCCUCUAUUAAAGAUAGGACCAUGUAUAGUCUUCUUGUUUCCUUCUAUUUCUAGAUAGUCUGUUAUUAUAGUUUGAUUUCCUCUUGCAUCUAACAACUACUUAAGAUUUUUUUAAAUUUCCAUAUGGUAAAUUCUUUUUAGUUAUCCUUUUGUAUUAACUUCCAGGUGGCAGUCUGAGAAAGAAACCUUAUAAAUUUUUUAUUCUUUAUAUAAACUCCAUUUUAAUUGUGUUGCUUUAAAAGUUUUAUUGUAGGAGAGCCUGGGGUGCCUGGCUGGCUCAGUCUGAAGAACAUAUGACUCCUGAUCUGGGGGUAAUGAGUUUGAUCCCCACAUUGGUGUAGACACUACUAAAAAAUAAAUAAAUAAAUAAACUUUAAAAAAACA